rnacentral:lncRNA from 1 species
UCAUUGGUGGCUCACGAGGAUUGAUUGGAGGUUUUUGAAGGAAAUUUUGUGAAAAACAUGUUCAUUUGAGCAACAUCUAUAUAGCAUGCAAUUAACAAUUAAAGGCGGAAUCAUGCUUACAUGCACUCAAAAACAAAACAUCAACCAUGAAAUUCAAAGCAUAGUAGAUUGGUGAACCUUGACUCAACUUAAAACAACAUUUAUUAGUUGAGAAAUUAUACCUUUGUAGAUUCCUCUUUGCAUAAGCAAAGGCUAAUCACCCAAAGAGAGGGCCUU